rnacentral:rRNA from 1 species
UACGGGGGGAGCAAGCGUUGUUCGGAUUUACUGGGCGUAAAGGGCGCGUAGGCGGCCAGCGCAAGUCAGUUGUGAAAUCUCCGGGCUUAACUCGGAACGGUCAACUGAUACUGCGCGGCUAGAGUGCAGAAGGGGCAACUGGAAUUCUCGGUGUAGCGGUGAAAUGCGUAGAUAUCGAGAGGAACACCUGCGGCGAGGGCGGGUUGCUGGGCUGACACUGACGCUGAUGCGCGAAAGCGUGGGGAGCAAACAGG